AUGCAGGGCAGGUUGCAGGGGUGCAGAGGGCUGCAGGGCGGGUUGCACGGGCGCAGUGGGCUACAGGGCGGGCUACUGGAGUGCAAGGCAGGUUGCAGGGCGGCCGGCAGGGCUGCAGGGCGGGUUGCAGGGGCACAGCGGGCUGCAGGGGUGCAGAGGGCUGCAGGGCGGGCCUCGGAGGGCUGUAGGGAGGGCUACAGGGUUGCAGGGCGGGCCUCGGAGGGCUGCAGGGCAGGUUGCGGGGGUGCAGAGGGCUGCAGGGCGGGUUGCAGAGGCGCAGCGGGCUGCAGGGCGGGCUCCAGGGCGGGUUGCAGGGGUGCCGCGGGCUCCAGAGCGGGCCGCAGGGGCGCAGCGGGCUGCAGGGCGGGCCUCGGAGGGCUGCAGGUCGCCCCGGGGCGCCCUCACGCCUUCCCGCCCGGCGACGUCCAGCGGGCCGCCCGGAGGCCAGCGGGACCCGAGGCCCGGUCGCAGCUCGGCCCCCCGCGAGCCGCGGAACCAGCGGGACCGUUCGCACCCCCCCCCCCCCCGCAGCGGCCGCUCUCACCCACGCGCCCGACUCGGCCUCCGAGCCCCGGGAAGCCAGCGGCCAGGCCGGGCCCGCAGCGGCCCCCGCCCCUCCGAGGUCGCGGCCGGAGCCGUCUCCCUGACGACGGGCGGCCGCCGGACCCGAGGCUCACCCGCGCCGCAGCCGCAGCCGCAGCCGCGCUCCCGGUCCGGCCGCCGCCGCCGCUCCCAGCAGCCCGCGGGGCACCCCCGGGCCCCGCCCCCGGCGCCUGCGCCUGCGCCCUCGGAGCGCGCCGAUUGGCUGAGCCCCGGCCAAGGAAGCUGAGCGUCGGCAGCGGGUCCGCCGCGCGGAACGGGGGCCGCGCGCCCCCUGGCGGCCUGGAGGCUUCCCAGCGACGUGCGCGGAGACCGUCGGUGCAAGGUCAUCAUCACUGGUCCCCAACACCCACAGACAUGAAUGACAGUGCUCCCUGCCUUGGAGGAGAUGUCCUUAGCGGGCCAUGGUGUAGAACCCGAGAGCUCUUCGGACGUGGGCCGGCUCUGGCCGGGUGA
rnacentral:lncRNA from 1 species